rnacentral:rRNA from 1 species
UACGUAGGGUGCAGGCGUUAAUCGGAAUUACUGGGCGUAAAGCGUGCGCAGGCGGUUUCUUAAGUCAGAUGUGAAAGCCCCGGGCUUAACCUGGGAACUGCGUUUGAAACUGGGAGACUUGAGUGUGGCAGAGGGGGGUGGAAUUCCACGUGUAGCAGUGAAAUGCGCAGAUAUGUGGAGGAACACCAAUGGCGAAGGCAGCCCCCUGGGUCAACACUGACGCUCAUGCACGAAAGCGUGGGGAGCAAACAGG